AUUGAACGCUGGCGGCAUGCCUUACACAUGCAAGUCGAACGGCAGCACGGGCUUCGGUCUGGUGGCGAGUGGCGAACGGGUGAGUAAUGUAUCGGAACGUACCAUUGAGCGGGGGAUAACGUAGCGAAAGUUACGCUAAUACCGCAUAUUCUCUCCGGAGGAAAGCAGGGGACCGCAAGGCCUUGCGCUCUUUGAGCGGCCGACAUCAGAUUAGCUAGUUGGUGGGGUAAAAGCUCACCAAGGCGACGAUCUGUAGCGGGUCUGAGAGGAUGAUCCGCCACACUGGAACUGAGACACGGUCCAGACUCCUACGGGAGGCAGCAGUGGGGAAUUUUGGACAAUGGGGGCAACCCUGAUCCAGCCAUGCCGCGUGAGUGAAGAAGGCCUUCGGGUUGUAAAGCUCUUUCGGCCGGGAAAAAAUCGCAUGGAUUAAUACUCUGUGUGGAUGAUGGUACCGGAAUAAGAAGCACCGGCUAACUACGUGCCAGCCGCCGCGGUAA
rnacentral:rRNA from 1 species